GUACUUACUUCAGUAGCACGCAAACUAAAAUUGAAAUGGCACAGAGAAAAAUUAGCCUGGUCCCUGUGUAAGAAUGACAUACAAAUUAGUGAAGCAUUGUGUUU